ACGAACGCUGGCGGCCGGCCUAACACCUGCAAGUCGAGCGGACCCUUCGGGGUUAGCGGCGGACGGGUGAGUAACGCGUGGGAAUAUGCCCUUCUCUACGGAAUAGUCCUGGGAAACUGGGGGUAAUACCGUAUACGCCCUUUGGGGGAAAGAUUUAUCGGGGAAGGAUUAGCCCGCGUUGGAUUAGGUAGUUGGUGGGGUAAUGGCCUACCAAGCCGACGAUCCAUAGCUGGUUUGAGAGGAUGAUCAGCCACACUGGGACUGAGACACGGCCCAGACUCCUACGGGAAGCAGCAGUGGGGAAUCUUAGACAAUGGGGGCAACCCUGAUCUAGCCAUGCCGCGUGAGUGAUGAAGGCCUUAGGGUUGUAAAGCUCUUUCAGCUGGGAAGAUAAUGACGGUACCAGCAGAAGAAGCCCCGGCUAACUCCGUG
rnacentral:rRNA from 1 species